rnacentral:rRNA from 1 species
UACGAAGGGGGCUAGCGUUGUUCGGAAUUACUGGGCGUAAAGCGCGCGCAGGCGGUUCUUCAAGUCAGUGGUGAAAGCCCGGAGCUCAACUCCGGAACUGCCAUUGAAACUGUAGAACUUGAGGAUGAGAGAGGUGAGUGGAAUUCCCAGUGUAGAGGUGAAAUUCGUAGAUAUCGAGAAGAACACCGGUGGCGAAGGCGGCCAACUGGACGGUGACUGACACUGAGACGCGAAAGCGUGGGGAGCAAACAGG